UCCAACUGAAAAAUCAAAUUGAACCAGCAAAUUCAAUUUGAUUUAAUUCGACAUUAUGAACUAUCAGUAUGGUUCUGUUGGUAAAGUAAAAGAAGAUAAAUUUAUUUUUAGAUCAAGCCGAAUCAAACUGAAAAUUAAUUGAACGUAAGGUUCAAUCCAGUUUGAAAUAUUUUAGAUCCUUGCAUAUUCGGUCCGGUUCGAACCGAAUGUGUACUCCCAGUUUCUACCAUGUUAAGGAUUGCAAUAUAUAUGAUGGAUGAGCAUCAUAUUUUGAUGAGUUCCGCCAGUUAUGAAUGCCGACCGGAUUCCAGCUGCAUUUGCACCUUUAAUAUCGUGGUGAAUGGAGUCUUUCGAUGUCAACUGUAAGUUUAUCAUUGCAUUUUUAUUGCUUUUAAUAGUGAAAAUUUGGAUUAUUAUCUUUUGUGAUCAGAAAGCAGCGGAAAAAGUGAAGGCAAGAAUGCAAUUUGAGUUCAAUGAAUAGAAUGUUUCACAACCAAUCCAGCAUUUACGGCAACUAACUUUGAUGCUCGCAUAAUCAGACAAGGGUUAUAAGCUGUGAACUAAUGAUUUGAAGGUCUAUAGGCGAUUCGAAGAACAUUUGCUGAAUAUAAUUAUACUGGAUGGUCCUAUCUAGUAAGAUUGUCAAUCACAAGCUAAAG